rnacentral:tRNA from 1 species
UACGGUAUAGUCUAGAGGUUAAGAUGACCGGCUAGUAGCCGCAUGAUUCAAGUUCGAUUCGUGAUGCUGUAG